GACGAACGCUGGCGGCGUGCCUAAUACAUGCCAGUAGAACGCUGAAGGAGGAGCUUGCUCUUCUGGAUGAGUUGCGAACGGGUGAGUAACGCGUAGGUAACCUGCCUGGUAGCGGGGGAUAACUAUUGGAAACGAUAGCUAAUACCGCAUAACAGUAGAUGUUGCAUGACAUUUGCUUAAAAGGUGCAAUUGCAUCACUACCAGAUGGACCUGCGUUGUAUUAGCUAGUUGGUGGGGUAACGGCUCACCAAGGCGACGAUACAUAGCCGACCUGAGAGGGGGAUCGGCCACACGGGGACUGAGACACGGCCCAGACUCCUACGGGAGGCAGCAGUAGGGAAUCUUCGGAAAUGGACGGAAUUCUUACCGAGCAACGCCGGGGGAGGGAAGAAGGUUUUCGGAUCGUAAAGCUCUGUUGUAAGGGAAGAAAGGUUGGGAGAGUGGAAAGUUCACACUGUGACGGUAUUUUACCAGAAAGGGACGGCUAACUACGU
rnacentral:rRNA from 1 species